AACGGUGUAGCUCAGUUGGUAGAGCGGUCUGUGAAACAGAUGCGUCGGCGGUUCGAGCCCGCCCAUCGUUC
rnacentral:tRNA from 1 species